rnacentral:rRNA from 1 species
CCCUUAGAUGUCCUGGGCCGCACGCGCGCUACACUGACAUGUUCAACAAGCCUCCUAGUUCGACAGGAUUUGGGAAAUCUUUGAACGCAUGUCGUGAUAGGGAUAGAUCAUUGCAAUUAUUGAUCUUGAACGAGGAAUUCCUAGUAAACGCGAGUCAUCAGCUCGCAUUGAUUACGUCCCUGCCCUUUGUACACACCGCCCGUCGCACCUACCGAUUGAAUGACUCGGUGAAAAAUUGGGACCGUGAGUCUGUUUGCUUCAUUGCGAGUGGAUUGAUGGGAACUUUUUUAAACCUCGCCAUUUAGAGGAAGGUGAAGUCGUAACA